ACUUAAUUACUUUUGAAUUUCAUUUUGUAUUUAAGAUGAUAAAUUUUCAGCCUGUACCUAGUACCCAGCCUCUUUAACUGUUUCAAAAAUCAGUGAGAUGGAAUGGCUUUGUGUACUCUGACAAUGAACUAAAUGCCCAAUGGAUAAUUUUGCAUUCAUGAUUAGCUGAUUAAUGGCACCAUUUCCUCAGGGGAUAAAAUCAUAUUUGUGAAAAUGAGCAGCUAUGUACAUGUGCAUGCACCCACACGUAUCCAUGCACAGAAAGGUGCUUUGACAUCAUUUAAUGGAUUCACAGCUUCUGGGGCUGUUCUUUUAGGGAAAAGUACAGUCAUCUUGAUUCAGUCUCUACUAGAAAGGCUGGAGGGUAAAGCACUGCAGGAUGGACACGGCUAUCAAGGGCUGGCUCAUGCAGGAUGGCUGUGUGGCUGAAGAACAGGGUCUACUGGGAGCAACAAAAAGAACUGGUUUGAGAAGAGGUGGCCUCUGGGGAGACCCUCUUGCUGCCUACAAACCCCUGGCUGAUGACAGAGACAAGAAGGCAUCAGACUCUUCUUGGAGCAGUGGGAUGAGAAGCAACAGGCACAGAYUGGAAUUUGCAGGUAAUUGUUCCAGUAAGGGAAGAGCUGACUUUCUUUUCAAAAUGAGAAGUGAAGAAGAAAAAUGAUAUUUACAUUUCUAGAGAAAAUUCAUUUGUCUAGAAAUAAAGGUUUGGUUCAGUUAUGUACUGGAAGAAGACUAGUGUGAGAAACAACACUCCUUUGGUGAUGGGUUUUGACGAAAGUAUUCUUGUGGAAAAUCUAUUAUGUUAAAUGAAAACAUUUUCAGUCUGGGUCACUUUUCUUGGUAGCAGAGACAU